GAUGAACGCUGGCGGCGUGCCUAAUACAUGCAAGUCGAGCGAACGGACGAGAAGCUUGCUUCUCUGAUGUUAGCGGCGGACGGGUGAGUAACACGUGGAUAACCUACCUAUAAGACUGGGAUAACUUCGGGAAACCGGAGCUAAUACCGGAUAAUAUUUUGAACCGCAUGGUUCAAAAGUGAAAGACGGUAUUGCUGUCACUUAUAGAUGGAUCCGCGCUGCAUUAGCUAGUUGGUAAGGUAACGGCCUACCAAGGCAACGAUGCAUAGCCGACCUGAGAGGGUGAUCGGCCACACUGGAACUGAGACACGGUCCAGACUCCUACGGGAGGCAGCAGUAGGGAAUCUUCCGCAAUGGGCGAAAGCCUGACGGAGCAACGCCGCGUGAGUGAUGAAGGUCUUCGGAUCGUAAAACUCUGUUAUUAGGGAAGAACAUAUGUGUAAGUAACUGUGCACAUCUUGACGGUACCUAAUCAGAAAGCCACGGCUAACUACGUG
rnacentral:rRNA from 1 species